rnacentral:rRNA from 1 species
AAUAGAUACCCCGGUAGUCCACCCCGUAAACGUUGGGAACUAGUUGUGGGGUCCUUUCCACGGAUUCCGUGACGCAGCUAACGCAUUAAGUUCCCCGCCUGGGGAGUACGGCCGCAAGGCUAAAACUCAAAGGAAUUGACGGGGACCCGCACAAGCGGCGGAGCAUGCGGAUUAAUUCGAUGCAACGCGAAGAACCUUACCAAGGCUUGACAUACACCAGAACACCCUAGAAAUAGGGGACUCUUUGGACACUGGUGAACAGGUGGUGCAUGGUUGUCGUCAGCUUGUGUCGUGAGAUGUUGGGUUAAGUCCCGCAACGAGCGCAACCCUCGUUCUAUGUUGCCAGCACGUAAUGGUGGGAACUCAUGGGAUACUGCCGGGGUCAACGUCGGAGGAAGGUGGGGAUGACGUCAAAUCAGUCAUGCCCCUUAUGUCUUGGGCUUCACGCAUGCUACAAUGGCCGGUACAAAGGGCUGCAAUACCGUGAGGUGGAGCGAAUCCCAAAAAGCCGGUCCAGUUCGGAUUGAGGUCUGCAACUCGACCUCA